ACACUUUAAGAAAGUAUUCUAUAUUACUGUGUUUUUUUUUUUGGUUCUACCAUGUCAAAGUUUCAGCCUAAAACCGGUUAAAGUGGUACGCCUGUCAUAUGAUACCACGAAAGACAUCCCAGCACCACUCCAUCAUAUUCAAGGGAGAAUUCAUAGUUAGUAAACAAGAAAACUGAAGUGAGCCUCACCCUUGUUUUUGGGUUUAGUAAACUGAUUGUACAGGCAAAGAUGUUAUUAUUGAGAAAUCAUUUAAAGUGCAUGGAAGUAGGACAGCACAUGCGAUAUAUAUUGCGAUUAACAUUAUUUUUAAUUAAUGAAUUUAUUUAUUUAUUUUUAUUUCAUUAACAGCACUUGAAUGUAUGUACAUAUGGAUAAUAUAAAAUGUAGAAUGACAUUUGUUAAAUGCCGCAAUACUGAGCCCAAGAUAAAUUUCCCUAAGGGGACAAUAAACUAUAUCAUAUCGUAUCAUCACCUGGUUUUCCAUAUGUGACACUAGGGACAGAUGAUGACACAAAAUCCCUUGUGCUUUGGCGGCGGGACAAUGAGGCCCUCUUCACGGGCAAAAGAAAUGCCGCCAAGGGAGGAUGGGAGCAGUUUAUCAGUAACACAGGCCUGCAAGGGAGGGUAUCGGCUGCCCAAGCGAAGAAAAAAUGGGAAAACCUGAAAAAAAGUACAAGGACAUCGUCAGCAGCCAGGCAGACAUUGUGAAGGAUAGCGCAGGCUGCAAUAACCUUCGGUGCAAAUGAAGGGUGCACCUCCAGGGAUGAAAAGAAGAUGCUCCUCCAUCUGGACUUCAUCAGUCCAAAAGCUCGCUCAAUUAUGGAGCGAGCUUUGGACUGAUGCCGGUUAAAGCGGGCCUCCACCGGCCCCUGGACAGGCUCCCUGUAGGGGGUUAUGAGGUGGAUUGGAUCCUCCAAGCAGGGAUACCCUCCAUCACCAAGCAGCAUGUAUCCACGGGGAGGAUACAGCUGCUGUACAUAUAUGGGGCUGUUCCGCAGGACCCGUGAGUCAUGAACAGACCCCGGGAAACCCACAAAGACAUCCAGGAAUUUCCCGGAGGAGUCACAGACAGCCUGCAGGAUAAUUGAUGGAAACAAUUUC